UUCUUGUAAUAGUCUUUAUGUAAAUUCCUCUCCCCGCCCCCAGACUUGCCAGGUAUAACCUACGGGAUGAAGUGCAGUGGUUGCCAAAAUAAAUGUUAUCCCAAGAUGGGAAUCUGUGGAGAGCGGAGGCCCAGCGCCUUCACGCAGGGAGAUUUCCAACGCGUCGUCCGUCUCUGUGGGACCGGAAGGAAUUUGUGACUGAAAUGGAGAAGAGGAGGUCUCCAGGGAUUCAGAGUGAAGAGAGACCUGGGGACAAACAGAUGUUAUCACUGGAUCCACAGCAAGACCUUACCACGCCUCUAGACCCUUCCUUUUGGGAACUCUGUCCCCCAGUGUUGUUUUCCGGCCACUGGCAGACCUCCGCCACACCUGAGAGUCCUCUGCCUCUGAAAGCCAGCUGACCUCAGGAAAGGUCACCAAGUGGAGGCAGAUUCCGGAAAAUGAAGUUUAUGCUCGUCGAAACCAGGGAAUCUGAAGGCCCCACUCCUUCCUCAGCCUGGCUCUGGGGCGGGGGGCAUGUGAGUUGCUGAGAAGACAGAUAGCGUGAGCACUGCUGGGAACGUGUUAGCAAUGCAGAGCCUUGAGCCCCACCCCAGACCUGCAGAAUCACAGUCUGCCUUUCAACGAGACCCCCACGUGAUUUCGGGGCACAUUAUGAGAGGUGCUGGUUGCCAAUCAGAAAGUCGUGGGCUGUAGGACUGUGGACCAUCCGCACGACCUUUCUGAACUUCAGUUUCCACAUCUGUAAAAUAGGCAUCAAAGAACAGAAUCUAUCACACACAGUGAGGACAUAAAUGGCCCCGCGUGCAGCUCUUACCACAGGGUCCCCAGAAUAAGUGCUUACAAUAUUGUCAUUAUUAACCAGAUUAUUACCUCCUGGCCAUGUGACUCACCUUGGGCCGCUUUAUCUUUUUCUAGGGUCCAGCUAAGGGCACUGUUCACUGAGUCCUUGGUAUUAAGUUCUUGCUUCAACGUAGCCUGUUCUCCUUGGCUUGAUAACAAAGGGCUGGAGCUGGAAAAAAAGGAAGUUAGAGUUUCCAGUGAGUCCUCUUUACUUCCCACCUGAGGAAGCUGAGCCCCAGGACGUGCCCUGCCUGGAAUCACAGGGCUCAGGGCUGGCAGAGCGAGGUGGUGGGGGAUGGGGGCACGGUUCUGAAUCCCCUGUUCAGAAACUCUCACCAUAACAAAAACAACAGCUUCUGUGCUUUGGCACCUACUUGGUGCCAGACACCAGACUUGGGGUUUAUCAAAAGAAGCAUCUCAUUUAAUCUGCAUAACAAUCUUCCACUUCAAUGACAAGAAAUCCAAGCUCUCAGAGUUACGUAAUGUGCCCAAGGCGUCAGAACCUCAAAGGACAAGCAGGGGCAGAAUGGAAUUUGGGGCGGAAUCUGGUUCCCCGACUCCACGGUCCCCAGUGGACCAUCCCCUUCUGUUCCACGCCCCUCAGGAAAGCUCCCUGUGGGAGAGACAGGCAUGUGUGGGUGCUAAUGGGUAGCAAAUGUACUGUUCCUUGACCUGGGUGCUGGAUAUAGGAGUCUUUAUUUUACUAUGGCUCUUUAAACUGUGCAAAUGUUUUCACGCACACACUGCAUCCAUCAAAAUAUUGCACAUCCAUAACUUAAAAACAAAUAGAAAAGAAUAGAAAUCUCACAGGUGUUUAAAUACAAGCCCG